AAACUGCUUUAAGACUUUUAGG
rnacentral:miRNA from 1 species